GAACGAGGUAGAUGAAGAGGUCUGGAAAGGCCCGCCAUAGGAGGUAACAGCCCUGUAGUCAAAACUUCGUUCUCUCCUGAGUGGAUCCUGAGUACGGCGGAACACGUGAAAUUCCGUCGGAAUCCGGGAGGACCAUCUCCCAAGGCUAAAUACUCCCUAGUGACCGAUAGUGAACCAGUACCGUGAGGGAAAGGUGAAAAGCACCCCGGAAGGGGAGUGAAAGAGAUCCUGAAACCGUGUGCCUACAAGUAGUCAGAGCCCGUUAACGGGUGAUGGCGUGCCUUUUGUAGAAUGAACCGGCGAGUUACGAUCCCGUGCAAGGUUAAGUUUGAAAAGACGGAGCCGCAGCGAAAGCGAGUCUGAAUAGGGCGCAUGAGUACGUGGUCGUAGACCCGAAACCAGGUGAUCUACCCAUGUCCAGGGUGAAGUUCAGGUAACACUGAAUGGAGGCCCGAACCCACGCACGUUGAAAAGUGCGGGGAUGAGGUGUGGGUAGGGGUGAAAUGCCAAUCGAACCUGGAGAUAGCUGGUUCUCUCCGAAAUAGCUUUAGGGCUAGCCUCAAGGUAAGAGUCUUGGAGGUAGAGCACUGAUUGGACUAGGGGCCCCUACCGGGUUACCGAAUUCAGUCAAACUCCGAAUGCCAAAGACUUAUCCUUGGGAGUCAGACUGCGAGUGAUAAGAUCCGUAGUCGAAAGGGAAACAGCCCAGACCGCCAGCUAAGGUCCCAAAGUAUACGUUAAGUGGAAAAGGAUGUGGAGUUGCUUAGACAACCAGGAUGUUGGCUUAGAAGCAGCCACCAUUUAAAGAGUGCGUAAUAGCUCACUGGUCGAGUGACUCUGCGCCGAAAAUGUACCGGGGCUAAACGUAUCACCGAAGCUGCGGACUGUUCUUGCGAACAGUGGUAGGAGAGCGUUCUAAGGGCUGUGAAGCGAGACCGGAAGGACUCGUGGAGCGCUUAGAAGUGAGAAUGCCGGUAUGAGUAGCGAAAGAGGGGUGAGAAUCCCCUCCACCGAAUGCCUAAGGUUUCCUGAGGAAGGCUCGUCCGCUCAGGGUUAGUCGGGACCUAAGCCGAGGCCGAAAGGCGUAGGCGAUGGACAACAGGUUGAUAUUCCUGUACCACCUCCUCACCAUUUGAGCAAUGGGGGGACGCAGGAGGAUAGGG
rnacentral:rRNA from 1 species